rnacentral:rRNA from 1 species
UCUACACGUAAGGAGUCGUCGGCAGCGUCAGAUGUGUAUAAGAGACAGAUAGAAUUCUAUGUAUAGGGGUAAAAUCCAAAAAUAUAUAGAGGAAUGCCAGUGGCGAAAGCGAUUAUCUAGGCUUAUACUGACGCUAAGGAACGAAAGCAUAGGGAGCAAACAGGAUUUGAUACCCUGGUAGUCUAUGCUGUCAAAUAUGAGUGUUAAUAUUGAAAGAAAAUUUUCGAUAUAAAAGCUAACGCGUUAAACACUCCGCCUGGGGAGUACGGUCGCAAGACUGAAACUCAAAGGAAUUGGCGGGGGUCUACACAAAUGGUGGAGCAUGUGGUUUAAUGCGAUAAUCCGCGCGAAACCUUACCAACUUUUGCAUACUAGGUUUAUUUUUACUAAGAUAAAAAUUAUUUAAGUAUAUAAAAUUUUGUUUAUAUAUAAACAAACCUAAUACAGGUGUUGCAUGGCUGUCGUCAGUUCGUGCCGUGAGGUGUCGGGUUAAUUUCUUGAACGAGCGAAACUCUUAUUUUAUAUUGAUACAUUUAAUUAGAAAUAAUUAAAUAUCGACUUAUAAAAAACUGCUUUUUUAAUUUAGAGGAAGGUGAGAAUGACGUCAAGUCCUUAUGGCCCUUAUAGGUUGGGCUACACAUGUGCUACAAUGAUUAGUUCAAAAAGUUGUACAAUAAAGCAAUUUAAAGUCAAUCUUUAACCCUUUUCGUGUUCGGAUUGUUGGCUGCAACUCGCCAACAUGAAGGUGGAAUCAUGAGUAAUCGUAUAUCAGCAUGCUACGGUGAACCGAUACUUAGAUCUUGCACACACCGCCCGUCACGUGCUGGGAGUAAGUCUCGUUUUAAGCUUUUAGAAGCUGUCUCUUAUACACAUCUGACGCUGCCGACGACUCCUUACGU